GUGCCAGCAGCCGCGGUAAUACAGAGGUGGCAAGCGUUGUUCGGAAUUACUGGGCGUAAAGGGCGCGUAGGCGGCCUUCUAAGUCAGACGUGAAAUCCCCAGGCUUAACUUGGGAACUGCGUCUGAUACUGGGAGGCUUGAAUGCGGGAGAGGGAUGUGGAAUUCCAGGUGUAGCGGUGAAAUGCGUAGAUAUCUGGAGGAACACCGGUGGCGAAGGCGGCAUCCUGGACCGACAUUGACGCUGAGGCGCGAAAGCUAGGGGAGCAAACGGGAUUAGAUACCCCCGUAGUCC
rnacentral:rRNA from 1 species